rnacentral:tRNA from 1 species
GCUGCGGUGGCGCAAUGGUUAAGCGCUUGGCUGCUAACCUAAAGGUUGGUGGUUGGAACCCAUCCAGGAGCU